rnacentral:rRNA from 1 species
AUACGGAGGGAGCGAGCGUUAAUCGGAAUUACUGGGCGUAAAGCGCGCGUAGGCGGCUUAGUAAGUCGGAUGUGAAAGCCCCGGGCUCAACCUGGGAAUUGCAUUCGAUACUGCUUGACUAGAGUAUGGUAGAGGGAAGUGGAAUUUCCGGUGUAGCGGUGAAAUGCAUAGAAAUCUGAAGGAAUACCAGUGGCGAAGGCGGCUUCCUGGCCUAAAACUGACGCUGAGGUGCGAAAGCGUGGGGAGCAAACAGAAUUAGAAACCCUUGUAGUCC